rnacentral:snoRNA from 1 species
GGCAGGAUCGGCCUCGGAGUGGGCCGGCGGCCCCCUAUGAGAGAGGCCCCGGAUCUAAGCGAAA